UUAUGUGCUGACGUGCUCCACACCGCAGGCGAGCCCCCCCGGCCCUGUAAUCCAGGCCGGCAGCCUCAAAUCAAUAACCCGCCUUCUCCAUCGACUACUCCGCUCUCACGUUCGCCGGCCCAGGAGGACACUCUCCGUGGCGUUGACGUGAGUCCCUCCCGCUGCCACUGGCAGUAUAACCAGCGGGAGGUCGGUGCAAGUUCACCGGCCAGUUCCGAGACACUGUCUCCCCCCACCCAACUAUUGGAACCAAAUGUACGCUUUCUCUAUGGCAACUACCGGGGCCUCCACGCCUAAAAGCGGGAGAGAGGCAUCGCGUCCGCCACUCCAUCGACUCUUUGUCCCCUGGAAGAACACCGGCGCAGAGCGCUCUGUGACAUACUGAGCCACCAUGAAGGCUGACUGUCUGGUGAAGCCCUCAAAGUUGGAAGCAAUGUAUUGGUACAUCCUUUUUACCAGCCGAGAGCACUCAAGGUGGACUUCUCCAGCAUCACCUGGAGGGACGCAUGAUGACGACGUUUGUCAAUGCAUUAACUAUAAACAAAUAAAACCAACACUCUGUACAACUAUUACAAUCUAAAAAGUGUCAAAACCAAAGCCAUAAAUCAAAGUCAUGACCAAAUUGGUUUAAUUACAGUAGCAAAUUAUGGGUUUGUGGAAAGAAAUAUACUAAUAAAGCAAACUUGGUUAACCACA